rnacentral:tRNA from 1 species
UCUAAUGUGGCAGAUAAGUGCAUUGGAUUUAAGCCCCACAUAUAAAGUUUUAACAACUUUCAUUAGAA